GGGUUUACCCAUUGGUCAGGCUUAAUUGUCUGUACUGGUGAGAUAAAUCUCUACCUUCUGAGGAACUUUCAUGUCAUUAAUUUGGUGUGAUUGGAAAUCAGGACUGUUACUUUGAAAAAAUUAGAGUGUUUAAAGCAAGUGAAUAACAGCCUGAAUACAUUAGCAUGGAAUAAUAGAAUA
rnacentral:rRNA from 1 species